GCCAAGCAAGGACGGGACCCAUCGCAGCGGUCUUGAGUGCCAAAGCAGAUGCGAACCGCCGGAAACGCACCUGCAGAAGAAUCUCAAGAAUCUGUUGGCUGAGGCGCCCAUAGAAAUUCGAUUCAACAACCAUCUCGCUCUGUUAAACACUCAAUUCACAGAAAGAGCAACAAAGAGGCAACCAUGGCGAUGUUAGUGGCGGCAACGACAGUUUCCAUCAAUCCUGCAAACGAGCUCCUCGCCAUGCCCGGAUGGCGCCCCGGAUCCUUCUCUCUAGCUUCGCUAAUCGAGAGGUGAGGCUGCUGCAACACGGUAGGAGCAUUGUGGUUGAGGACGACCUCGAUAAUCGUUUGGAGGAGCUUGCUGGCGAGGUCGUGGACGAGGUCAUUUUCUUCAACCGGCAUACUGCCGUUUCGAAUCGUCCUGCCCUCACUGUUCAUCGGAUUGGGAACAUAACAAGAACAAUAAAGUCCUUCUUGGCAUCGGGGGUGGACAUUAUGCACCUCGCCACAUGGACAUAGUUCUGUAAGUAUUGGUCGGUCAGGCUGUUCUUCCCGUUAAUGGAUCAUUUCUUUAGCGUUCAUAGGUUCAGUAGUAGACGUGUCUUUAUCUCGAAUUUUUGUCGCUUUGAAAUAUUUUCAAAAUAGGUAGGUCUGUCUUUCUCUGUAUCCCUUGAGCUGAAAGACAAAAGACAUACAUAAAAAAUUAUUUAGAUUCGGAUCGGGCUCUCGAAAGCUCAUGUCCCGUAGGUGGGAAGAUAUAGGUUGGAAAAACAUGUUAAUAAUCUCCGCAGGCCCUUAUGCUGUUUUAUUAUCUCCGCAGCCCCAAUGGAAGAUCCGAACCAGUCGAAGGGAAAUACGAACGACAAAGGUAUCGGGGGGGGAGCUGGAGAGAGUCGAUUAAAGCAGCAUUCAAGGCUACUAAAAAUUGGCUUUCCGUGGUGGAGAGAGCAUAGCACACCUUGAUAACAAGAGUUUCAAGGGCUAGCAGAAGAAUGUCGACUUCUACUGAUUAUCUGUGACAACAUGACUUUUCCUUUCGAACUUCCCCUCCAGAUUUAAAAUGCGUCUGCCAAGGCCCAAAAAAAUUGUGAAGAAAUGGUUAUAAAAAAUGUCUGGUAGGGGUGUUCAAAAAAUUUAACGACCCCCCUAAUAAGCUACUCAGGAAAGGCCCAAAACCAAUUCGAGGGAAUAGUGGAGCUUCAUAGGGUCUGUAUGUCCAGGUGCAGGUAGUCCGCAUAUUCACAGACAUGUCUAUUUCACCGAGCUUUUCUCCGAGACAGUGCCCAAAUCGUUAUGCCUUUCGUGCAGGUCGGAACUUACCCGACAAGGAAUUUCGCUACUUUAGGACAAUUUGUGUAGUUUUGGUUGAGUUAUGAACUUAUUUGAAUA